GUCUGUGUGAAGUUAUACAGAGUCUAACCUGCCCAAUGAAUUUUAUUUUAAAGGCCGCAGUAAUUUGACUGUGCAAAGGUAGCAUAAUAAUUAGUUUUUUAAUUGAAGGCUUGUAUGAAUGGUUGGACAAAGAAAAAUCUGUCUUUUAUAUUAUCUUUGAACUUUACAUUUAAGUGAAAAGGCUUAAAUAAAAUUAAGGGACGAUAAGACCCUAUAAAUCUUUAUAUUGAAUAAAAUUUUUUUAUAAUUUUAUAAAAUUUAAUGAUGUUAUGUUGGGGCAACAAAAAUAUAAAAGAUAACUGUUUUAUAAAAAACACAUUUAUAUAUGUAAAUAUAAAAGAUCCUUUAAAAAGAUUAAAAGUUUAAGUUACUUUAGGGAUAACAGCGUUAUUUUUUUUGAAAGUUCCCAUUGAAAAAAAAGUUUGCGACCUCGAUGUUGAAUUAAAAUUUCUUUAUAGUGCAGUAGUAUAAAAGAGAGUCUGUUCGACUUUUAAAAUUUU
rnacentral:rRNA from 1 species